AUACGGAGGGUGCAAGCGUUAUUCGGAAUCACUGGGCGUAAAGGACGCGUAGGCGGGUUGGCAAGUCAGAUGUGAAAUCCUACAGCUUAACUGUAGAACUGCAUUUGAAACUGCUAACCUAGAGUAUGAGAGGGGGAGAUGGAAUUAGUGGUGUAGGGGUAAAAUCCGUAGAUAUCACUAGGAAUACCGAAAGCGAAGGCGAUCUCCUGGAACAUAACUGACGCUAAGGCGUGAAAGCGUGGGGAGCAAACAGAAUUAGAAACCCUUGUAGUCC
rnacentral:rRNA from 1 species